rnacentral:rRNA from 1 species
UACAGAGGUCCCAAGCGUUGUUCGGAUUCACUGGGCGUAAAGGGUGCGUAGGUGGCCAGGUAAGUUUGGUGUGAAAGCUCGGAGCUUAACUCCGAAAAGUCAUUGAAUACUAUCUGGCUGGAGGGUCGGAGGGGAGACUGGAAUUCUCGGUGUAGCAGUGAAAUGCGUAGAUAUCGAGAGGAACACCAGUGGCGAAGGCGAGUCUCUGGACGACUCCUGACACUGAGGCACGAAAGCUAGAGGAGCAAACAGG